rnacentral:rRNA from 1 species
UACGUAGGGUGCGAGCGUUAAUCGGAAUUACUGGGCGUAAAGCGUGCGCAGGCGGUUUGUUAAGGCAGAUGUGAAAUCCCCGGGCUUAACCUGGGAACUGCAUUUGUGACUGGCAAGCUAGAGUAUGGCAGAGGGGGGUAGAAUUCCACGUGUAGCAGUGAAAUGCGUAGAUAUGUGGAGGAAUACCGAUGGCGAAGGCAGCCCCCUGGGUCAAGACUGACGCUCAUGCACGAAAGCGUGGGGAGCAAACAGG